AGAUUCAUGCAGUGGCAGUAUUGUAGCUAAUGAGGUUUAUCCAAGGUGCUAUUAUUGCUAAUUCAAAACUUUUUCUAAAAUAGG
rnacentral:snRNA from 1 species